GGGCCCGCACAAGCGGUGGAGUAUGUGGUUUAAUUCGAUGCAACGCGAAGAACCUUACCAGGGUUUGACAUCCUGCGAAUCUCUUGGAAACGAGAGAGUGCCUUCGGGAGCGCAGUGACAGGUGGUGCAUGGCUGUCGUCAGCUCGUGUCGUGAGAUGUUGGGUUAAGUCCCGCAACGAGCGCAACCCACGUCUUUAGUUGCCAGCAUUUAGUUGGGCACUCUAUGGAAACUGCCCGUGAUAAGCGGGAGGAAGGUGUGGAUGACGUCAAGUCCUCAUGGCCCUUACGGGUUGGGCUACACACGUGCUACAAUGGUAGUGACAAUGGGUUAAUCCCAAAAAGCUAUCUCAGUUC
rnacentral:rRNA from 1 species